AGGGUACUUAUAUCUAUAUGCUUCACGAGCAGCUCUUGACAGCAGAAUGCUCAGCAAGUGGGUCAUUUGUUCCGUGACGAUGUACUUCUAUAUCUCACUUGUAUGUCAUACUAGUGUCACCACACUCUUUAGUUAAGAAGACAACCAAUCUAUAUGGCACACAAUGACUUUCACUCAAUAAACGUCAUCAUCCUGUAAU
rnacentral:lncRNA from 1 species